rnacentral:rRNA from 1 species
UGGGGAAUAUUGCACAAUGGGCGAAAGCCUGAUGCAGCAACGCCGCGUGAGUGAUGAAAGGCCUUCGGGUUGUAAAGCUCUGUCUUUUGGGACGAUAAUGACGGUACCAAAGGAGGAAGCCACGGCUAACUACGUGCCAGCAGCCGCGGUAAUACGUAGGUGGCAAGCGUUGUCCGGAUUUACUGGGCGUAAAGGAUGCGUAGGCGGAUUUUUAAGUGAGAUGUGAAAAACCCUAAAGCUUAACUUGGGGACUGCAUUUCAUACUGGAAAUCUAGAGUGCGGGAGAGGAGAAUGGAAUUCCUAGUGUAGCGGUGAAAUGCGUAGAGAUUAGGAAGAACACCAGUGGCGAAGGCGAUUCUCUGGACCGUAACUGACGCUGAGGCAUGAAAAGCGUGGGUAGCAAAACAGGAUUAGAUACCCUGGUAGUCCACGCCGUAAAACGAUGAGUGCUAGGUGUAGGAGGUAUCGACCCCUUCUGUGCCGCAAGUUAACACAAAUAAGUACUCCGCCUGGGAAGUACGAUCGCAAGAUUAAAAACUCAAAAGG